AGAUUGUCCAAUUACCUACCUGCCAAUUGCAAGGCCUACAGAUAAUUUGUCUUGCAAGAAUUAUAAAAGUAACAUAAAUCAUGGGAUUGUUCUGUCUCUAUUCUUGUCAAUGCUCUUGGAGUUCUUCGCCUAAAAUCGUAGUUUUUGCUUUAUUUUGUCCUUUCUUCUUGAUUAAAAAAAAUAAGGCCAAGUCAUAGGGUUUUGGAACACAAUUUUUUAACACAAAAGUUGACACUCUGUGCUGUUCAUUAUAUUUAUACGGUGAACAUAAUAAACUCUAUUUGUAACACAAACACAAGAUUGUGUCAUCAAUUAAUUUCACUACUUCAUUUAUAAAAAAGUAUUUUGUUUACCACUUUUUUACUAUAUAUAUCUCGUUAACCACUUUGACUACUUCACUAAUCACGAAAAUGCAAAUCAUUAAUCAGUUAUUAUACAUAAUUACAAUAUGACUGAAGUACAUAUAUUUAUGUACGUGAUUAAUGUAUUGCAUUUUCGUAGUUAAUUAAGUAAUCAAAGUGGUUAAUGAAAUAUAUGGUAAAAAAGUGGUUAAUAACAUAUACUCUUUCUGUUUUAAAAUGAGUGUCGUUUUAGUCAAUUGCACACAUAUUAAGGAAUGAAAUGAAAUAAUCAUCAGACAUAACACUUUUACUAAACAACCCUUGUUUUAUAUGAAAAAAACAAACUUAAAGUUGAAUUGAAAAUUGUGUGAGAAAAAAGUUGGAGUAUUUAUUGAGGGUAAAGUUGGAAGAAAAAAAAUUAAAGUUGUAUUAGAAAUAUAAAGUGACAUUCAUUUUGAAACAAUUAUUUUUUUUCUAAAGCGACACUCAUUUUGAAACGGAGGGAGUACUUUCUUUUCUUUUUGUUGAUGAAGUAGUAAAAUGUGUUAAUGAUUCAACUCAAACAUUUAUGUUACACAAAUAUAGUCUUCUAUAUUUUAAAAAAAGUUCUUUUUUAAACAAAAAUAAAAAAUAUUGCUCGGAAUGAACAGUACAGAUAGCUCAUUUUAUGGUGAAUGUUGUGUUCCAAUCCUAUAUUAAUAAUGUAAUUGGCUUGUAUGCCUUAAAAAAAAGUUCUUUGCUCGUAUAAUAGGCGAAGAAAGAAUAAAUUAAAAUGUUGGUACUUUUUUCUUUUUUUAAUCGAAAAUUCAAAUUUUAUAUUUUGAAGACUAUUACUGCUUGAGUUAAUAUUGAUAUUAAUGUUACUAUGAACAUAGUUCAGUUGGUAAGAAUAUUAUCAUAAGUAAGAGUCAUAGUUCGAACAUCAGAUUUUCCACUUAUGACUUUCUAGCAAUUAGACUAUUUAAGUAAAAAAAAUUGUGUUGUUAUUAAUUGUGAAAUUAUAAAUCAAAAGAACAAUAAUAAUAUGUUCACAAAAACAAUCAAUCAUAAUGUUAGGGACUAAAUUGAUAACGAAAUUGUGAUAUCUCAUGCAUGCAACCUCAUCAAUUAACAGAAUAUUUUAACGUUAGAGACUAAAUUGAUAACGAAACUGCAUAUUCAGGGGACUACUUUAAAUUUAAUUUUGAGUCAUAUAGCUUUGUGACAUCAAAGUGCAUAAUGAAGGAGCAAAAUGACUAUUUUUAUUUAAAUAAGACCUAAUAUUUAAGGUGGCUAAUAGCCUGGGAAUAGAGAGUUUUUCCCACCAUGAAAAAACUCCCUUUUUCAGGACACCUGUCAGUGGACAACCUAUUUCAGAAAGAAAAAUAAAAAAAAUGAUAUUCAUUUUUUUAAUGUUGUUUGUCUUUUCUGCUGUUACCAACACCUUCAAUUGGUCUCUGCACCUCUAUUCAGCCUCCCUUGACUGUGAAAUUAUCAGUUUAUCACCAUUAAAUCCCUUUCAUUUUUCUCUAUAAAAACCACUAAAAUAUUUUUAUAUUGGAGAUAUUUCAAAAACCCAGACCACCCACUUCUCUCCAUCUUAGUUCCCUCUUUUUGGUUUUGGAGGUUUUGGUUCCUUGGUUAUUAUUAUUAUUUUUUUUUUUGUCAUCUAUAUUCUCCAUACCUAUUUUGGUCAUUUUUUUUGUGAACCCAGUUUUGAGUGGCACCACCGUGCCGGAAACUUAAUGGGCGGCCAUAUCUUCUCUUUUUUUUCUCCCUCGUUUUUUAAAUAAAAUAAAACAUAAAAUUAUUUUGUAGUGUGAGAGGAAAUGAAAGUUUAAGAAUUGACAGUGACAAAAAUAAAAGUAAUAAUAAUGUUAAGUGAAUAGCUGCAAGUGUGAGACACCCUACUUCCCAUGGAUCUUGAUGAUGAAUAGUGGAUAUACAAUUUGUAGUGAUGAUAGUGAAGAAUGAUGAAGAGUGGGUCUAUGAAGAGUGGGUUUGAUGUUGAUGAAUGUAUGAAGAUGGUGAUGAAGAUGGAGAAGAGGAGGAGGGAAGAAGAUGAAGAAAGUUGAAAAAAAUUAAUAAAUCAAAUUAUAAAUUGUUAUUUAAUUAAUGGUGGGGUUGGUUUUUUUGUCCACCAUAUAACAUCAAAAAGUUAUAACAAUUAACAAGUAAUAGAUCUAAGCCAUCCAAUUAAAAAAUUAUUAAAUCAAUGACUAUGAUUAAACUUUUCUAUUAUGAAAAAGAAGUUCCCUUUCCCAUACUAAACCCCACCAAUAUUUAAACUGCCACUUUGUUUAUAUUUAAACUUUCCGAAUUAAGCCAUGAGGAAGGAAAACAUGUACCGGCUCUAGCCUCUAGGAGCCAUAAUAUAUUACUGUUUUUGGUGGCCCCAUUAAUGAGUUUUUUUUAAAAUUUUUAUUUUUAUUUUAUUUUUUAUGUGUGAACAAAACUUAGCGAUGGACACGCGAAACACGGGUGUGGCCAUGUUGGUGUUUGUCACGGGAAACACGAGUGUGCACUGUCCAUAUUAUAUUAGAGAUAAUCUUGUUUUUGCUUUAUUUGGAAAAUAUCAAAAUAUUUGGGGUACACAAUUCAAUUACUAUUAUUAACAAAAAUUCAAUUACUAUUAAUAGUAAAAGUUUAUGUUUAGAUUUAUUUAUUAAAUGAUGUAUGUAAUCUAUAAUGAAUACCAUAUAUAUAUAAUUAAUUGAAUAUACAAAAAAUUUAAAUUUUUACUUAUAAUAGUGACCAGAUAUUUUACUACUCUCUCCGUCCCAAAUUGUAUGUCGCUUUGGAAAAAAAUUUGUCCCAAAUUAUAUGUCGCUUUACAAUACCAAUGAAAUAUUAAUGAUACUUUUCCUAUUAUAUCUUUAACUAUUAAUUACUCUCUCUUCUUUCAAUUAUUUCAUUUAUCUUUCCUAUACCAUUUAUUAAGGAUAAUUUUGUAAAACAACUCAUAAUUUAUUUUCCCCACACAAUAUUAAUGACAUUUCUUAAUAUGUGCGAAAUGACCAAAACGUCAUACAAUUUGGGACGAAUGGAGUAUUUAAUAUUCUCUAUGUCCUAACUUAUACAACAUUCAAUCACUAAUAUAAACUAAAUUUUAUUCUUUAGAUUCAUUCAAUAAAUGAUGCAUGUGAUCUACUUCCUAUGUUUCUGUAUGUAAGCACCCUUUGCAUUUUUCACAUUUUUUUAAGAAAAGUAGUUAGUGCAAUUAAUGUGUUUAUUUUGUGGGUUAAUAUUACCAAAUUGUCAUUUGUUUGUAUGUGUAUUAAAUUUGACUUUUUAUAUUUUAAGACAGGUUAAUAAUAGUAUUAAUUAAGGUAUAUUUCAGAAAAUAAAAAUAAAUGCAUCUAGUAAUUUGAAAAGGAGUUUAUAUUUAGAGACAAAUUUUUAGUCAAAAGGGUGCUUAGAUAUAUUGAGACAGAGAUGAUAUAUUAUAGAUCACAUACCUCACUUAUUCAAUAAAUCAAAAAUAUAAAUUUUUACUUAUAAUAGUAACUGAAAAGUGUAAAUCAUUUUGAAGAAAAAAAAAUUAUUCUAGAUUAUAUAUCAUUUGAGAAUACCAAGGAAACAUUCUUAUCUUUUCUAUUAUACGAUUAACUAUUUAUUACUUUUUCUUCUUUUAAUUUUUUAAUUUAUUUUUUUCAUACCAUUUGUUAAGGCAAUUUUGUAAAACAACUUAUAAUAUCUAUUUUUCAUAUAAAAUUAAUUACAUUUCUUAAUACAUGUGAAAUGUUCAUAACCUCUUAUAAUUUGGGACGAAUGAGUAUCAAAUACUAUUUAAGAUGCUUGAAAAGUAUUUUAAUUUCUAAUACAUAAAAUAUAUAAAUUUUCAUAAAAAUUUACUUCCACAUGUUUCAUUUUUUUUUUUUUUUGGUCAAGUAGCCUAGUGGCUAGAGCUCACACAAUUUAAUUGUGGAGAAGUGGAGUGUCCGGGGUUCGAACCCCGGCUCCUUCAUAUAAUAUGCAAUAUCCCUACCAACUGAGCUAAGCUCACGGGGUUUAGAGUUGUAUGCGGUUUUUAAGGAAAUGAUCAGUUGAAUUUAUUUCAACGUUAAAAUUAAUGUAAUUUAUUAAAACAUCUUUAUUAAUUGUAGUUAGGUUAAUGAAUCAAAUAUAGAAAUAAUUUAUUGGAAUGUAUUUAUUUUAUUUAUUCUUUAACUUUUUAAUGAAUUGAAUGUACAAGAUUUUAUAGAAUAUUUCUUUUUUUGAGUUUAUUAACAUGUGUUUCAAGGGUACAAGUUAACACUAUCUUAUUUAUUAAUAGAACAAAUUAAUAAAUAUUGCAUUGAUAUUUUAAACUAACGAUUAUUUUAAGACAUAUAAAAAAUGCUAAAAUGAUACUUGACAAGUACUCUUUAAGAUGCUUAACAAGUAACUUCAUGCACUCAUUAACAUUACUUACGUACAAAGUAACUCACAAGCAUCCGUACAUUUUUUCUAACGAGGGAAAAAAAAGGUAUCCAUGUACAUACGUUGGCACUAUAUAAACACUAGCAACCAAAGAAGUUAUCAAAGACAUUGCAAAAAACACAAACAAAAAACUAGACAAAAAUGGGGUUGCUAGAUUAUUCCCAAUGGUUGAUCCUAGUAGCAGCUUUGUUGGGUGGAUAUGCAUUUGUGUUUGGUUUCCUAAGGAGAUUGAAUGAAUGGUACUAUGUUGGUAGGUUGGGAAAAUCACAAAAUCUCCCACCAGGUGAUAUGGGUUGGCCUUUCUUUGGUAACAUGCCUACCUUCGCCAAAUAUGCUAAAUCUGAUCCUGACUCACUCAUCUAUAACCUUAUCUCCAGGUAUUCAUCCAUCUAUGCUUCGGUUCAUCUACAAAACCAUGAAAUAUAAAUAAAUAAAAUCUUAUAUUUCAAUAUAUGUAAUAUUUGAUUUUCUUUGUCUCUUUCUUUUCAUGGCCAAUAUUUCUCUCAACCACAUAUUCUGUUGAUUAUCUUCUCUACCAACCUAUACCCGUCACAGUAUCACUCACCAUAUCUGCACUACAACAGCUCGCAUGGAUUACACGCGAAAACAAUAAACUUUUUUCGACUACUCUUUAUAGCAUUCACAAUAGAGAUUCUUAAUUUUGAGUACUUAAACUGGUCUCACAUAUAUACAUAAUUCAUUUAUAAUUUUUUAAUAACAUUAUCUAAUAAGCACUCAAUCACUCCAAUGCAGUAUCUUUGACAAAAGUUUUAAAUGAGUCCCACCAAUAAACAAAGCAUGCUAAACAAGCAUUGCAAAAUGAUUCAUUUAAUGAAAAGUAUUACGGGGUCCACUUAAGAAUGAGAUGCUUAAGUAAGACCCUAAAAAAUUUCUCCCUAAUAGGGGUAUAUAUAUAUAUUAGGCACCGCAUCUUAAAUCGUUAAAACCUAACCAUUGGAGAUGAUCCUAGAUAUCGGAUAUGAUUGUGGAGAUAAUGAUACUCGUAUGCGUGAAAAUCUAUACCCGUUACUAAACUAGUAAAAUUUCCAAAAUGUUAUACUUAAACAUUAAUAUUACCUACACAAAAGGAACUCUGGUCUAAUUUCCUAUUUUGCGUUUCUUGUUUCAUUAAUAAUUUUGUUGGCAUAGUAUAGUGAAACAGGAAUUAGACCAGGGAUGUAUUUAACAAAAAAAAGUAUAAACAGUUAAACACAUUAACUCCGACGUCCAAGAAUAAAACAGUUCCGCUGCAACUGUCUCGGCGUCUUUUUGCACCGUUGGAUAUGUCUAAAAAUACAUUUUUAAUAUGGUACAAAGACAACUCAAAUUUAACACUAAAAUCAUUGGUACUAUGACUUCGAAUGUGCUACUAUGACAACCAAUGGCGUUGCCAGAACCCUGAGUCAGGGGGUGCACACUUAUGAAACACUAACACUUGGACACGAUAUAGACACAUCGUCGUUGAUAGUAAUUAAAAAUAUCAAAAUUGAAUGUAAAUCACAUGUGUCGGUAUUGUGUCAGUGUCGGUCACCAAACAUAUGUUUGAAUAGAAGUGUAAUUGCUAUAGAGAUGCAGACUUUUUAUUUUCAUGAAUUAUUAUUAUUUUAUAUAUAAAAUUAUAACUAUUCAUUGUUUUUGACAAAAAAUUAGUGAUAUCAUUGUCAUAGUAUAGUUAAAAGUAGUAUACAAAAUACUUUUUUUUUAAGAAAGUAUACAAAAUACUUAUUUUAAUUAUUUUGUAUAUUUAAAUACAUUUAUUUGAAACAUAAAGUACAAAAAAUAGAGUAAUAAAGAAAUGAAAGAUCUUUUUUUUUAUGACAAAGAAAUCAAAGAUCAUUAAAGAAUACAUGGGUUCCAAACUAAUGUACAACUAAUGUACUUUGGAAAGAUUAAAGAAUAAAACAAACUAUAUUAAAUAAUGUUAAAUCAAAUAAAACGAAAAGAUAGAUUGUCAGUGUGGUACAAGGAAAGACAAAUAUGGAUGGCACAAAAACUGGAUGUGACAGUACAGAAGUUGUGUAUUUGGGUGCAAAGAAGAGAGAGAUUUGGUGCAAUGAAGGUGCAAGACUCAUACCUGAGGGGGUUCAUAAUGAAUCCCCUGGACAAUAGGUGGCUCCGCCCCUGAUGACAACCUUACUACGAUUCUGCGACCACUCAAAUAUGAUAUUAAUAUCAUUUUAAUAUCUAAUUUCUCCAAAGACAAAGGCACAAAAUAUCAAAAAAGACUCUGCUUAUAAGACCACUUUUUAUAUUUCCACCAAUGUUCCAACAUAUACUACUCAAGAAAAUUUACUCAAAACAUAGUGCAAAAACAUCUAUAGUCGUGGAUGCUCAUAAAUGUGACUAACUUUGGAUGGUUUUUAUUUUAUAAAAUACAGAUAUGGCAGGACAGGUAUGUACAGGACACAUUUGUUUGGGUAUCCAACCGUCAUAGUUUGCUCGCCAGAGACAUGUCGUAAUGUACUAAAAGACGAGGAACAUCUCAAGCCAGGAUACCCUGCUUCAGCUAUGGCACUUGCAGGGAAAAAAUCAUUCCAUGGAAUAUCAAGUGCCGAGCAUAAACGUUUGCGAAAGGUAACCACGUCUCCAAUAAAUGGUCACGAAUUGUACAAUUAUAUUGGUCUCAUAGAAGAUAUUGUAGUGAAAAAUUUAGAAGAUUCGUCUAAAACGAACACACCGGUUGAGUUUCUCAAAGAGGCCAAAAAGUUCACUUUUGAUGUCAUCACUUCUGUCUUCUUUUCCUCUGAUCGUGAACAUGCUGACCUUGCUUUGGUUGAGCAUUUGUACAUUGAUUUGCUUCGAGGAAUGAGGUCCCAAUCGAUCAAUCUUCCUGGCUUUCCAUUCUAUAAAGCACUCAAGGUAAUUAAUUAUAUACUCAUUUAUUCAUCUAAGUACACAAUUUGAUUUACACCUUAUAGUUACAUUUAAAAAAAUCCUAUUGUGUUUAGGCACGAAAGAAGUUGGUGAAGCUGUUGAAAGGUUUGGUGGAUCAUAAGAGGAGAAACAAUAAUAAUGAAAAACAACAGACAAAAAAAGAUUUGAUGGAGUUGUUGAUGGAAGCCAGAGACGACGAGGGUGAGAAGUUGGAAGAUGAAGACAUUAUAGACUUGCUUCUUUUGUUCUUGUUAGCUGGUCAUGAAAGCUCUGCUUAUGGUGUUUUGUGGACCGUUAUCAACCUCACUAAUCAUCCACAUGUCUUCGAAAGAGCCAAGGUUUUAAUACUAUUAAUUAAUGUGGCAUUUUCAAAAUUUGUUACUGUUUUUUUUUUUAACAAACAAAACUAUGAACCCUUUCAGAAAGAACAAGAAGAGAUUAUGGCAAGAAGGCCUUCCGAUCAAAAAGGACUUACACAUACGGAAAUUAGGCAAAUGAAAUAUCUUUCUCAGGUAUGCGAUAGGUGAAUUCUUUCUUAUCAUAUUAAUGAUUCCGGUCAUAAGUAGAAAGUUUGGUCAACAAAAUUUGAUAUAUUUAGUUGAUUAAAUACAUUAAAUUUUGUUGAUUCAAAUUUCUCGUAUAUUUAAGAUCGAAGAAGUACUAUUAUUUUAACAAAGUAUUUUUGCCUGAAUUAAAAAUAACCAUCUUUCAACUAAGUUGCAUGGUUAUUUCUAAAAUGAAAAUUAUGAUUUUAACAUGAUAUAUUCUACACUAUAGAUUAUUGGCUUAUUUCCAAAAUAAAAAGUAUGUUUUGAUAUGAUAUAUUCUACAUUAUAGGUUAUUGAUGAGAUGCUGCGCAAAACAAGUAUUUCAUUUGCGAACUUUAGACAGGCAAAAGUUGAUUUUAACCUCAAUGGUUAGUCAUUUCAUUCCAUAUAUUUUUCUGCGUUGAUAAUUUUGUACUCCAUGACAACUCCCUAGCAUGGUUUUGGUCGCAGUUGAUAACAAAUUUUUAGUUGCAGACAAAUGUAGUCAAUACGACUGCAAUUACGAUUGCAGAUACCUAUAAAAUUUUACGAAAUGGCUGCAAGAAAUACGAAACCAUGCCCUUAUAUUAAAAAAAAAAAUGUCAUCCAGCAUUAGAAGAAAAGAAAAACUAAAAAUGAAAAUGAAAAAUUGCAGGUUAUACUAUACCAAAAGGAUGGAAAGUCCUGGUAUGGAACAGAGGUGUUCACAUGGAUCCUGAAAACUACCCCAACCCAAAGGAAUUUGAUCCUUCCAGAUGGGAGGUAUGUAUAAUAAUUAAUAUUGAAUUGAUUUUUUUUUUUUUUUUUUAACAAUCCAUUUAUUUAAUUUAAUGAACAAAUAUGUAUUAUGUUAUGUGUACUUUAAAAAUGUGAUGCAGAAUUUCAAAGCAAGAGUAGGACAAUUUCUUCCAUUUGGAUAUGGAAGUAGGUAUUGUCCAGGAAGUGAUUUGGCUAAACUUGAGAUCACUAUUUACCUUCAUCAUUUUCUUCUUAACUACAGGUUAAUACACACUUGCUUCCAUUUUGCAAAGGAAUAAAAUUAUAAUUCAUUUUUCUAAAUAAAUAACCAAUUUUGUUCUGUCUCUGAUUGUUUUUGGUGUGCAGGAUGGAGAGAAUUAAUCCAGAUUGUCCAAUUACCUACCUGCCAAUUGCAAGGCCUACAGAUAAUUGUCUUGCAAGAAUUAUAAAAGUAACAUAAAUCAUGGGAUUGUUCUCUCUCUAUUCUUGUCAAUGCUCUUGGAGUUCUUCGCCUAAGAUCGUAGUUUUUACUUUAUUUUGUCCUUUCUUCUUGAUUAAAAAAAAUAAGGCCAAGUCAUAGGGUUUUGGAACACAAUUUUUUAACACAAAAGUUGACACUCUGUGCUGUUCAUUAUAUUUACACGGUGAACACAAUAAACUCUAUUUGUAACACAAACACAAGAUUGUGUCAUCAAUUAAUUUCACUACUUCAUUUAUAAAAAAGUAUUUUGUUUUCCACUUUUUUACUAUAUAUAUCUCGUUAACCACUUUGACUACUUCACUAAUCACGAAAAUGCAAAUCAUUAAUCAGUUAUUAUACAUAAUUACAAAAUGACUGAAGUACAUAUAUUUAUGUAAGUGAUUAAUGUAUUGCAUUUUCGUAGUUAAUUAAGUAAUCAAAGUGGUUAAUGAAAUAUAUGGUAAAAAAGUGGUUAAUAACAUAUACUCUUUCUGUUUUAAAAUGAGUGUCGUUUUAGCCAAUUGCACACAUAUUAAGGAAUGAAAUGAAAUAAUCAUUAGACAUAACACUUUUACUAAACAACCCUUGUUUUAUAUGAAAAAAACAAACUUAAAGUUGAAUUGAAAAUUGUGUGAGAAAAAAGUUGGAGUAUUUAUUGAGGGUAAAGUUGGAAGAAAAAAAAUUAAAGUUGUAUUAGAAAUAUAAAGUGACAUUCAUUUUGAAACAAUUAUUUUUUUUGCUAAAGCGACACUCAUUUUGAAACGGAGGGAGUACAUUCUUUUCUUUUCUUUUUGUUGAUGAAGUAGUAAAAUGUGUUAAUGACUCAACUCAAACAUUUAUGUUACACAAAUAUAGUCUUCUAUAUUUAAAAAAAAAAGUUCUUUUUUAAACAAAAAUAAAAAAUAUUGCUCGGAAUGAACAGUACAGAUAGCUCAUUUUAUGGUGAAUGUUGUGUUCCAAUCCUAUAUUAAUAAUGUAAUUGGCUUGUAUGCCUUAAAAAAAAGUUAUUUGCUCGUAUAAUAGGCCAAGAAAGAAUAAAUUAAAAUGUUGGUACUUUUUUCUUUUUUUAAUCGAAAAUAAAACAUCGAUACAUACUUUCUCUAUAUCGUUUCAAUUUUAUUGGAUGUCAAUUUAAGUUGACUUUUUUUUUUACAAUAGUUUUGAUUGAGAAACUCAAUUUACUUCCUAAUUCAAAUGGAAGUAGGGUUUAGGCUAUUUCGGCCUUCACCUAGGCAGUCAUCUUUUGAUGACAGUUUUUUUUUUUUUUAAAUAAAUCUCUUGAUGACAAUUAAAAUGAUGUG
rnacentral:lncRNA from 1 species